CAAUAAAUUAUUCAUUAUAAUAAUAUUAUAACAAUAUUUUGUAUUUGUUGACAUGAAUUUCAUCAUAAACCAUCAAAAUAAAACUCAAGUACAGCC